rnacentral:snRNA from 1 species
GUGUCCGCUUUGGCAGCACAUAUACUGAUAUUGGAACAAUACAGAGAAGAUUAGCAUGGCCCCUGCACAAGGAUGACGCGCAAAUUCAUGACACGUUCUGUUUUUUU